UACGUAGGGUCCGAGCGUUGUCCGGAAUUAUUGGGCGUAAAGGGCUCGUAGGCGGUCCGUCACGUCGGGAGUGAAAACUCGGAGCUCAACUCCGAGCCUGCUUCCGAUACGGGCAGACUAGAGGUAGGCAGGGGAGAGCGGAACUCCUGGUGUAGCGGUGGAAUGCGCAGAUAUCAGGAAGAACACCGGUGGCGAAGGCGGAUCUCUGGGCCAUAACUGACGCUGAGGAGCGAAAGCAUGGGGAGCGAACAGG
rnacentral:rRNA from 1 species